AAGGGAGACCUAAUUCAGGUAUGGGACGAAAAAAAAGUAGUCGCUACCAAGAAUCAAUCCCAAAAGGUCGGAGCGAGGUAUGAGGCUUUCAAACUAGGUUCUGGGUUCAAACAAGACCUGAAUCAGGAACAAGGGCUAUUAGCUCAGGUGGUUAGAGCGCACCCCUGAUAAGGGUGAGGUCCCUGGUUCGAGUCCAGGAUGGCCCACCUGCACAGGUGGCAAAAACAAGAGAAGCGAGGAAUCAGCACCUUAUCUUAUCUAUAUAUAUAUAGGAGAGAAUGCUGGCUCUGAGUAAAGAGUCCAGAGGAACCUUGAAAACUGCAUAGAGCUAGGUGAAAAAGCCAAAAAAGAAGACCGCAAGGUCAAGCCAAUAAGGGCUAACGGUGGAUACCUAGGCAC
rnacentral:tRNA from 1 species